rnacentral:rRNA from 1 species
UGGGGAAUAUUGCACAAUGGGCGCAAGCCUGAUGCAGCCAUGCCGCGUGUGUGAAGAAGGCCUUCGGGUUGUAAAGCACUUUCAGCGAGGAGGAAGGUGGUGAGCUUAAUACGCUCAUCAAUUGGCGUUACUCGCAGAAGAAGCACCGGCUAACUCCGUGCCAGCAGCCGCGGUAAUACGGAGGGUGCAAGCGUUAAUCGGAAUUACUGGGCGUAAAGCGCACGCAGGCGGUUUGUUAAGUCAGAUGUGAAAUCCCCGGGCUCAACCUGGGAACUGCAUUUGAAACUGGCAAGCUAGAGUCUCGUAGAGGGGGGUAGAAUUCCAGGUGUAGCGGUGAAAUGCGUAGAGAUCUGGAGGAAUACCGGUGGCGAAGGCGGCCCCCCUGGACGAAGGCUGACGCUCAGGUGCGAAAGCGUGGGGCAGCAAACAGGAUUAGAUACCCUGGUAGUCCACGCUGUAAACGAUGUCGAUUUGGAGGUUGUGCCCCUUGAGGCGUGGCUUCCGGAGCUAACGCGUUAAAUCGACCGCCUGGGGAGUACGGCCGCAAGGUUAAAACUCAAAUGAAUUGAC